GAUGAACGCUGGCGGCGUGCCUAACACAUGCAAGUCGAACGAAUCAGAUAUUCAACACUGAGCUUUUAGACGAGGGAAUAAAGUUAGCCAGCAUCAAGGACGAACGAUAGAGAGUCCUUUGCGCGUUAAAAAGUGUGCUAACACAGAGUUGUCUGAAUGUUGAGUGUUGAAUAUCUGAUUAGUGGCGGACGGGUGAGUAACGCGUGGGGAACCUGCCCUAUACAGGGGGAUAGCCUCGGGAAACCGGGAUUAAUACCCCAUAAAACUCUAGUAUCGCAUGAUACGUGAGUCAAAGCUGAGGCGGUAUAGGAUGGCCCCGCGUCUGAUUAGCUAGUUGGUGAGGUAACGGCUCACCAAGGCGACGAUCAGUAGCCGGCCUGAGAGGGUGGACGGCCACACUGGAACUGAGACACGGUCCAGACUCCUACGGGAGGCAGCAGUGGGGAAUAUUGCACAAUGGGGAAACCCUGAUGCAGCGACGCCGCGUG
rnacentral:rRNA from 1 species